CAGCUCGCCGAGUGGUAGGGAUGAUUAUUGGGCCUAAAGCGUCCGUAGCCGGCCUUUCAAGUCUCUUGUUAAAUCCAACGAUUCAAUCGCUGGACUGCAGGAGAUACUGUCAGGCUAGGGGGCGGGAGAAGCCGACGGUAUUUUCGGGGUAGGGGUAAAAUCCUAUAAUCCCGGGAAGACCACCAGUGGCGUAGGCGGUCGGCUAGCACGCGCUCGACGGUGAGGGACGAAAGCUGGGGGAGCGAACCGGAUUAGAUACCCGCGUAGUCC
rnacentral:rRNA from 1 species